AAGAAAGUCUUCUUUGUUCAUGAAAGCUAAUGCAAAACGUGAACCCUUUCCAGAAACAAGAAACUGGAUUCUAAAUCUUUAUAAUCUAGUAAGAUUCUGGAUCUGAGCAGGAGUUCAAAUAACCAGCAGAUUAGGAGCUGGGAACCAGAUGAGAUCACGUUAGUCACUCAUCACUUUAAUAUGACUUUUCCCCCCAAAUCAAUGUUUCGUCCAUGUAUCC